rnacentral:rRNA from 1 species
GAUGAACGCUGGCGGCGUGCCUAAUACAUGCAAGUCGAGCGAACGGACGAGAAGCUUGCUUCUCUGAUGUUAGCGGCGGACGGGUGAGUAACACGUGGAUAACCUACCUAUAAUACUGGGAUAACUUCGGGAAACCGUAGCUAAUACCGGAUAAUAUUUUGAACCGCAUGGUUCAAAAGUGAAAGACGGUCUUGCUGUCACUUAUAGAUGGAUCCGCGCUGCAUUAGCUAGUUGGUAAGGUAACGGCUUACCAAGGCAACGAUGCAUAGCCGACCUGAGAGGGUGAUCGGCCACACUGGAACUGAGACACGGUCCAGACUCCUACGGGAGGCAGCAGUAGGGAAUCUUCCGCAAUGGGCGAAAGCCUGACGGAGCAACGCCGCGUGAGUGAUGAAGGUCUUCGGAUCGUAAAACUCUGUUAUUAGGGAAGAACAUAUGUGUAAGUAACUGUGCACAUCUUGACGGUACCUAAUCAGAAAGCCACGGCUAACUACGUG